rnacentral:rRNA from 1 species
AUUGAACGCUGGCGGCAUGCCUUACACAUGCAAGUCGAACGGUAACGCGGGGCAACCUGGCGACGAGUGGCGAACGGGUGAGUAAUAUAUCGGAACGUGCCCUAGAGUGGGGGAUAACUAGUCGAAAGACUAGCUAAUACCGCAUACGAUCUAAGGAUGAAAGUGGAGGAUCGCAAGACCUCAUGCUCGUGGAGCGGCCGAUAUCUGAUUAGCUAGUUGGUAGGGAAAGGCCUACCAAGGCGACGAUCAGUAGCUGGUCUGAGAGGACGACCAGCCACACUGGGACUGAGACACGGCCCAGACUCCUACGGGAGGCAGCAGUGGGGAAUUUUGGACAAUGGGGGCAACCCUGAUCCAGCAAUGCCGCGUGAGUGAAGAAGGCC